rnacentral:tRNA from 1 species
GAGAUUUUAAGUUAUAUAAACUAAUGGCCUUCAAAGCAUAAAAAUAAGUAAAUUCUUUUAAAUCUUA